CAGUAGCCGCGGUAAUACGGAGGGCGCGAGCGUUACCCGGAUUUACUGGGCGUAAAGGGCGUGUAGGCGGCCUGGGGCGUCCCAUGUGAAAGGCCACGGCUCAACCGUGGAGGAGCAUGGGAUACGCUCAGGCUAGAGGGUGGGAGAGGGUGGUGGAAUUCCCGGAGUAGCGGUGAAAUGCGCAGAUACCGGGAGGAACGCCGAUGGCGAAGGCAGCCACCUGGUCCACUUCUGACGCUGAGGCGCGAAAGCGUGGGGAGCAAACCGGAUUAGAGACCCCGGUAGUCCCUGUCUCUUAUAC
rnacentral:rRNA from 1 species